rnacentral:rRNA from 1 species
UACGAAGGGGGCUAGCGUUGUUCGGAAUUACUGGGCGUAAAGGGCGCGUAGGCGGUGUGUCAAGUCAGGCGUGAAAGCCCCGGGCUCAACCUGGGAACAGCGCUUGAGACUGGCACGCUCGAGUUCGGGAGAGGAUGGUGGAAUUCCCAGUGUAGAGGUGAAAUUCGUAGAUAUUGGGAAGAACACCGAUGGCGAAGGCAGCCAUCUGGACCGACACUGACGCUGAGGAGCGAAAGCGUGGGGAGCGAACAGG